UGAUGUGGCAGGGUGGGGCCAGAAUACAUGUCACUCUGCAGUUACACAGGCAGCCCCUGCGGGGAGAGCAAUGCAGAGCGUAGCUCUCUUUUUCUUAUCAGUUUUUGCAGGCAGGGCAAGCAGAGAGGAUAGAGUAUCCCUCCCCACCAGGAAGUCCAGAUCAUCUAUCAGCUGCCUCCCAAACAGCAGAUAUAACCAUGGUCUCCACUAAGCAGAAAGCUCUUAAUGAAACGAGUGUGGCCAUGCAGACUGAGAGCUAGCCCAGAAACACAGCUGUUCAGCUCUCUGGCUGCACGGAGAACCUAAGUCUGCUGCUGCCUCCAGAGAAUGGUAAAGAUGCCAGUUGUGAGAGGUAUGAGCAGACUGUGACAAGGAUGUGCCAUGCUGGUGUGACAGACAUGUACACAUGAAACUGAAAGGUGUGACUAAGAGCAUGGGAUGUAUCAGCUCUGAAUUUGUGCAGAGAAAGGAAGUUCAAUGUGAUGAAGUCUGCAGCAUUGACUGCAGAUGCCCUUUAAAUCACAGAAGACAAGAUGCUCAUAGAGAUACCAGAGCUCUUUGUAAUUAAAGUACAAAGAAAUUCCUGCCUUCUGACUCCCAUAUCACAGCUGAGUUAAGGAUGUCUCUUCUGCUUCAAGACUGAAAGUAAAUAAAACUGAGAUAUGGCCAUGGGUUUUCAAGACAUCUUGAGUUCAUGUGGGACAAGAAGACAAAACACAGCAAAAAUACCUUGCUGAAUAGGUGACUCAGGCGCAAGAGAUGGCAGAAGAAAAUGGCUAAUGCGAAGGAGAGCACAGAACGCUCUACCACUGGUUAUGCAUCUGUAAGCCCUUGUAAGCUGAUGUGGUCCAUUGGCACAGAACUGAUACAGAUACUCUGCAGACACGGAUUUAUCUUAUUUUUAAUGGGAAGUGACAUCCAGGACCCUGAGUCAAACACAGAUUGAAUACAGACUGAAAUACAUUUACUUUUUAUUUAUCUUUAACUGGCUAUAAAGAUGCACCUUUCAGCAGACUAUGAAGACGGGUAAAGUACAGAGGAACU